CCCUCUAGGUUACAGAGAGCUGGUAGUCCCAUCCACCAAACUACCAGGUGUGAAACAGGGAAGGGACUCAGGGGGUAUGCUCAUUUGGUAUAGAGCAGACCUAACUCACUCUAUUAAAUGAAUCAAAACAGGAACAUUUUACAUUUGGCUAGAAAUUCAAAAGGAAAUGAUGUCCUCCUGUGUGCUACCUAUAUCCCCACACUUUAAUGGAGACAGCUUCUCCAUCCUGGAGGGGGAACUCAAUAAUUUCCAGGCCCAGGGACAUGUACUAGUCUGUGGCGACCUAAAUGCCAGAACCGGACAAGAACCUGACACCCUCAGCACACAGGGGGACAAACACAUGCCUGCAGGUGACAGCAUUCCCUCCCCCAUACGUCCCCCUAGGCACAACUACAACAACCUAACCAACAAAAACGGGUCACAACUCCUGCAGCUCUGUCGCACGCUGGGUGUGUACAUAGUCAACGGUAGGCUUCGAGGGGACUCCUAUGGUAGGUACACCUGUAGCUCAUCUCUUGGCAGUAGUACUGUAGACUACUUUAUCACUGACCUCAACCCAGAGUCUCUCAGAGCGUUCACAGUCAGCCCACUGACACCCCUAUCAGACCACAGCAAAAUCACAGUCUACUUGAACAGAGCAAUACUCAAUCAUGAGGCAUCAAAGCCAAAGGAACUAAGUAACAUUAAGAAAUGCUAUAGAUGGAAGGAAUGUAGUGUGGAAACCCACCAAAAAACAAUUAGGCAACAACAAAUUCAAUCCCUUGUAGACAAUUUCCUGAGUAAAAUGUUUCACUGUAAUAGUAAAGCUGUAAACUUGGCAGUAAAAAAUCUUAACAGUAUAUUUUACCUCUCAGCUUCAAUAUCAAAUCUAAAAAUCUCAAAUAGAAAACCGAAGAAAAUUAACAACAAUGACAAAUGGUUUGAUGAAGAAUGUAAAAACCUCAGAAAGAAAUGGAGAAACCUGUCCAACCAAAAACAUAGAGACCCAGAAAACCUGAGUCUACGCCUUCACUAUGGUGAAUCACUAAAACAAUACAGAAAUACACUACGGAAAAAGAAGGAACAGCUCAUCAGAAAUCCCUCUAACCACUUCUGGGAAAAUUAGAAAACACUAAACAGACAACAACA
rnacentral:lncRNA from 1 species